rnacentral:tRNA from 1 species
GCUGGCGUAGCUCAAUGGUAGAUCAGCAUAUUUGUAAUCAGCAGGUUGGGUGUUCAACUCCCGUCGCCAGCUCCA